rnacentral:rRNA from 1 species
GGAGUUAGCCGGUGCUUCUUCUGUGAGUGAUGUCCUUCCUGCCGGCUAUUAACCCGCAGGCCUUCUUCCUCACUGAAAGUGCUUUACAACCCGAAGGCCUUCUUCACACACGCGGCAUGGCUGGAUCAGGGUUGCCCCCAUUGUCCAAUAUUCCCCACUGCUGCCUCCCGUAGGAGUCUGGGCCGUGUCUCAGUCCCAGUGUGGCUGAUCAUCCUCUCAGACCAGCUACGGAUCGUCGCCUUGGUGAGCCGUUACCUCACCAACCAGCUAAUCCGACAUAGGCUCAUCCGAUAGCGCGAGGCCCGAAGGUCCCCCGCUUUCCCCCGUAGGGCGUAUGCGGUAUUAGCCUGGGUUUCCCCAGGUUAUCCCCCACUACCGGGCAGAUUCCUAUGCAUUACUCACCCGUCCGCCGCUCGCCACCAGGGAGCAAGCUCCCCGUGCUGCCGCUCGACUUGCAUGUGUUAGGCCUGCCGCCACGCGUUCAUCUGAGCCAGAAUACAAACUACUGA